AAGUCGUAACAAGGUUUCCGUAGGUGAACCUGCGGAAGGAUCAUUAAUAAACCUAGUCGUUCGCGUACAUAGGGGCAACCCUCGCGUGAUGUCAGCAAUACCUAGGUAACCCUUGAAUAAACUACCCUUGUUGCUUUGGCGGGCCGCCGUCUCGGCCAGCGGCUUCGGCUGCUGCGCGCCCGCCAGAGGACCACAACUCUUGUUUUUAGUGAUGUCUGAGUACUAGAUAAUAGUUAAAAA
rnacentral:misc_RNA from 1 species